AUUGAACGCUGGCGGUAGGCUUAACACAUGCAAGUCGAGCGGGGGGAGGUAGCUUGCUACCGGACCUAGCGGCGGACGGGUGAGUAAUGCUUAGGAAUCUGCCUAUUAGUGGGGGACGACAUCUCGAAAGGGAUGCUAAUACCGCAUACGUCCUACGGGAGAAAGCAGGGGAUCUUCGGACCUUGCGCUAAUAGAUGAGCCUAAGUCGGAUUAGCUAGUUGGUGGGGUAAAGGCCUACCAAGGCGACGAUCUGUAGCGGGUCUGAGAGGAUGAUCCGCCACACUGGGACUGAGACACGGCCCAGACUCCUACGGGAGGCAGCAGUGGGGAAUAUUGGACAAUGGGGGGAACCCUGAUCCAGCCAUACCGCGUGUGUGAAGAAGGCCUUAUGGUUGUAAAGCACUUUAAGCGAGGAGGAGGCUACUUUAGUUAAUACCUAGAGAUAGUGGACGUUACUCGCAGAAUAAGCACCGGCUAACUCUGUGCCAGCAGCCGCCGUAA
rnacentral:rRNA from 1 species